rnacentral:rRNA from 1 species
CAACCCGCAAGGGGGGGAGCGGUCGAAGGUGGGGCUGGCGAUUGGGACGAAGUCGUAACAAGGUAGCCGUACCGGAAGGUGCGGCUGGAUCACCUCCUUU